rnacentral:rRNA from 1 species
GACGAACGCUGGCGGCGCGCUUAACACAUGCAAGUCGAACGGAAAGGCCUGCUUUCCCUUGUGGAUUGCGGGUACUCGAGUGGCGAACGGGUGAGUAACACGUGAGUGAUCUGCCCCCAACUUGGGUAUAAGCCUGGGAAACUGGGUCUAAUUCCCGAUAGGACUGCAGGGUGGUGCCUGUGGUGGAAAACGAUUUUCUAGUGGUUGGGGAUGAGCUCGCGGCCUAUCAGCUUGUUGGUGGGGUAAUGGCCUACCAAGGCGGCGACGGGUAGCCGGCCUGGGAGGGUGGACGGCCACAUUGGGACUGGGAUACGGCCCAGACUCCUACGGGAGGCAGCAGUGGGGAAUAGUGGACAAUGGGCGGAAGCCUGAUGCAGCGACGCCGCGUGGGGGAUGACGGCCUUCGGGUUGUAAACUCCUUUCGACCGCGAGGAAGCCACCUGGUUGGAAGGGUGGUGACGGUAGUGGUAGAAGAAGCACCGGCUAACUACGUG